AAACACGUAAGAAUCUGCCCCUCGGUCGGGGACAACUUUUGGAAACGAAAGCUAAUACCCGAUACGCUGUGGAGUGAAAGAAUUUCGCCGAGGGAUGAUCUUGCGUCUGAUCAGCUAGUUGGUGCGGUAAUGGCGCACCAAGGCGACGAUCAGUAGCUGGUCUGAGAGGAUGAACAGCCACAUUGGAACUGAGACACGGUCCAAACUCCUACGGGAGGCAGCAGUGGGGAAUUUUCCGCAAUGGACGAAAGUCUGACGGAGCGACGCUGCGUGAAGGAUGACGGCCUGCGGGUUGUAAAC
rnacentral:rRNA from 1 species